UCAAACUCCGGUUGAUAUCGACCCCCAAA
rnacentral:sRNA from 1 species